AACGUAGGAGACAAACGUUAUCCGGAGUUACUGGGCGUAAAGGGCGUGUAGGCGGUUUGUUAAGUCUGGCGUGAAAGCUCUCGGCUAAACCGGGAGAGGUCGUUGGAUACUGGCAAACUAGAGGACGGUAGAGGCGUGUGGAAUUCCGGGUGUAGUGGUGAAAUGCGUAGAGAUCCGGAGGAACACCAGUGGCGAAGGCAAUCCCCUGGGCCCGCACUGACGCUCAUGCACGAAAGCGUGGGGAGCAAACAGG
rnacentral:rRNA from 1 species